rnacentral:rRNA from 1 species
UACGGAGGGGGCUAGCGUUGUUCGGAAUUACUGGGCGUAAAGCGCGCGUAGGCGGACCUGCAAGUCGGGGGUGAAAGCCCGAGGCUCAACCUCGGAACUGCCUUCGAUACUGCGGGUCUCGAGUCCGGGAGAGGUGAGUGGAAUUCCUAGUGUAGAGGUGAAAUUCGUAGAUAUUAGGAAGAACACCAAGUGGCGAAGGCGGCUCACUGGCCCGGUACUGACGCUGAGGCGCGAAAAGCGUGGGGAGCAAACAGGG